GGUUAAGCGACUAAGCGUACACGGUGGAUGCCCUGGCAGUCAGAGGCGAUGAAGGACGUGCUAAUCUGCGAUAAGCGUCGGUGAGGUGAUAUGAACCGUUAUAACCGGCGAUUUCCGAAUGGGGAAACCCAGUGUGUUUCGACACACUAUCAUUAACUGAAUCCAUAGGUUAAUGAGGCGAACCGGGGGAACUGAAACAUCUAAGUACCCCGAGGAAAAGAAAUCAACCGAGAUUCCCCCAGUAGCGGCGAGCGAACGGGGAGGAGCCCAGAGCCUGAAUCAGUGUGUGUGUUAGUGGAAGCGUCUGGAAAGGCGCGCGAUACAGGGUGACAGCCCCGUACACAAAAAUGCACAUAUUGUGAGCUCGAUGAGUAGGGCGGGACACGUGGUAUCCUGUCUGAAUAUGGGGGGACCAUCCUCCAAGGCUAAAUACUCCUGACUGACCGAUAGUGAACCAGUACCGUGAGGGAAAGGCGAAAAGAACCCCGGCGAGGGGAGUGAAAAAGAACCUGAAACCGUGUACGUACAAGCAGUGGGAGCCUCUUAAUGGGGUGACUGCGUACCUUUUGUAUAAUGGGUCAGCGACUUAUAUUCUGUAGCAAGGUUAACCGAAUAGGGGAGCCGAAGGGAAACCGAGUCUUAACUGGGCGUUAAGUUGCAGGGUAUAGACCCGAAACCCGGUGAUCUAGCCAUGGGCAGGUUGAAGGUUGGGUAACACUAACUGGAGGACCGAACCGACUAAUGUUGAAAAAUUAGCGGAUGACUUGUGGCUGGGGGUGAAAGGCCAAUCAAACCGGGAGAUAGCUGGUUCUCCC
rnacentral:rRNA from 1 species